UAGUUUGAUUUUUUUCCAGCUUGACUGAGAUAUUAUUGACAUAUAACGCAUGUAAGUUUAAGGUGUACAAUGUGAUGAUUUGAUACACGUAUAUAUUGCAAAAUGAUUGCCACAAUAACGUCAGUUAACACCACCACUCCCUCACAUAAUUACCACUUUUUGAUAACACUUAAGAUCUACACUCUCAACAACUUUCAAGCAUAUAAAACAGUACUGUUAAUUAUAGUGACCAUGCUACACCCCACUUUCUUCUUAAGGAAUUACUUACAGAUUGGAUCACGUGCUGUUUUGGGAUCCGAGGGGGGACUGAACUUUCCAGGUCCAGCUGCGUUUUCGGCACAUACUCUGAAGACAUAGGUGAAGAAUGUCUGGCGUUUCAUCAAAGAAUGAUUACCUAUGACUUUGACAUUGAUUGAGGCAGUUGCUGAGCCGAGCUUAUUCUCCACGGUAAUGGUGUAAACUCCAGCAUCUGCAUGGACACUCUUGGGAACUUCAAGGUCCAGCAAGAUUUUCAGCCAACACACGGAAUCUGUAUUUUUUCUUAUUGGUAAGACCUUUCACUCUGAAUUAGGAACAAAGUGUGAGUUGAAUACCACGAUAAGAAGGAGAAACCUCUGUUUAUUUCACAUAGAAGAAGCCACUUGAUUAAUGAGAAACUUACCAAACUGAUAUUUGGCUGUUAUUGGAGUGGCCUGAACUGGCUCACCAACACCGUACAUGUUUUCUGCAGCAACUCUGAAGAUGUAUUCUUUAUUGGGUGUU